AUUUAUUGUACAGGAGGAACGGGAUUCAUAUCUCACAGCUCCCUCCUCACCACAUUCUACAGAGGCACUAUAGAGACCCUACUGACCAACAGCAUCUCUGUCUGGACUGCAACCUGCAAUGCCUCAGACUGGAAGUCUCUCCAGAGAGUGUUCCUGCCGUUGGGGAGCAGCUGGUAGCCUGGAGGACACAGACACUGGAAACUGCCAAUAGUGUUUCGGCACUCAUGUUGGCACGGCUUCCUGAGCAGACAUUCGUCCACGUCUACACAAAGAACAAUAAAACAAGAUGUCUGACAACUCUGCCUGGUAAUGCGGGAAACUCCAUGAGGGCGAGAUAGAAUCGGUCUACCAAUGGAAGACACCAGCUGUGGCCGAAGUCUUGCCCUCACUCUGGUUCCAUUAGUGAAGGUCUGUCCCCUCUCCAGCCCCGCACAAGAGCGCCCAUCCCCGAGCAGGUGGGUACCAGGCGGACACAUGCACCUGAAGCUACCCGGCACAUUGCGGCACUGAUAGACGCAAGGACUCGGAGUCUGCAGGCAUUCAUCCACGUCUGAAAUAUACAAGAGCUGCUUGUAAGGUACGACACUCAGAGAAUUUUUUUUGGAACGAGACAAACGCAAUGUCGUACCCAAACAUGGGAGGCCAACUCCCUGCGAUCGGUACCCUCUGGGACAUAUACAACCGUAACCGCCGAAUGUGUUCUGACAGAUCUGUGAGUAGCGACACAUGUGACUCCCGUCCUGACACUCGUCGAUAUCUAGGGGAAAAAAAAAUAUCAGCUUUAUAAUGACCAAAAUAUACAGACUUCCAAUGCACACUCUGCAAAAAGUGAAAUCCAAGUCAAAUUUAAAAUCUCAAAUAAGGGUGAUAUUUCCUUAUUUUCUGUCUGAUUAGAUACUUGUUCUCACAAAGCAGAUUUUAUGUUAGAGCAGGGGUCGGGAACCUUUUUGGCUGAGAGAGCCAUGAAAGCCAAAUAUUUCGAAAUGUAUUUCGGUGAGAGCCAUAUCAUAUUUUUUAACACUGAAUACAACUAAAUGCGUGCAUUUUUAAGUAAGACCAACAUUUUUAGCGUAUAAUAAGUCUUUUAUUCUUUUUAAUAACAUUGUUAUUCUGAAGCUAACCAAUAAUAAAUAAAAUGUCAUGUCUGUUGAUCAUGUUUUUGUUUGGCCAUGUGCUGUUUGUCCUUUGGACUCUUUAAGUUCCUGUUUUUUUCCACUCCCUUGUCUGGUUUCCUUGGUUACUCAUUUUGUCCUCCUGUCUCUGAUGGACAAAAUGCCUGCUCACCUGCUUCCCGAGCAGUAUUUAAGCUUGUCUUUGCCAGUCAGUCGCCCUGGCGUCAAUGUGAUCUUUUCUUGCUCUGUGCUGACUUGUUUCAUGCCUUGCCAUAGUUUCGUGCUUCAUGCCAUGCCAAGUAAGUUUUGUUUGAUUUAUGUUCUUAGUCUGUUUAUGCGUUAGCUUUGUUCCUUAGCCCAAGUUGUGCCUCCGCUGUGAGCGAUUUUUGUUUGUAUCUUUUUUUAGUUCAAAUUAAAUCAUGUUUUUACCUAAAUGCCUUGUCCCGAGUAGUCCGUCUGCCUUCCUGGGGGAAAGACCCUGCAGCAAGCUGCGACCCCCCCCCAUCGUGACAUAAAAUACUUCUUACCAUUAAUGCGACUUCUUGAACGGGUGCGGUAGGAAACGGAUGGAUGGAUUUAAAUGCAUGAGAAUGCUUUAUAUUUUGCACGUUAUUUUUAGCACUGUGAUUUCCAGCGAAAGUAUUCAUAACUAUGGUAUUAAGCAAUGUCAGCUAAGAUUUAUCUGAGAGCCAGAUGCAGUCAUCAAAAGAGCCACAUCUGGCUCUAGAGCCAUAGGUUCCAUACCCCUGUGUUAGAGUGUUUUACUUGUUUUAAGUGUUUCGGUCCUCAAUGAUCUCAGUAAGAUAUUACAGCUUGUUGCUGAGAUUUGAUGACCUAUUUUGAGUAAAACAUGUCUUGUCUUGGGUUUUUUUCUGUCUUGUGAUUUGCAUAUUUUAUUUUGAAAAGCAACCCCUCUUGUUUCAGAUCAUGGGCCCUUCCUCUUGUGUCACCAGUCUGACGUCAUCCCUGACCCUUGAUUGUUUCGACCCUUUUCCCAUUACCAUCAUGUUCUAUUUAAGCUCAUGCCUCCCCUUGUCCUGUGCCAGAUCGUCUCGAGCUUUCGUGUCAAUCUAGCGUCCAUGUCCAUGUCCAUGUUUGUAUUCAUGCCUUGCUUCUUCCCACGUUUACUUCCUUGGAACAAGAAAUCUCUUGCUGUAAUUUUGAAUUUUACUUUUUCCUCCUUUGAGCAACUUUUGUUAUUCUAGCCGUCGUCCAACCUAUUUGGUGAGUUUUUGUAUUGUUCUAAAUUCCUUUUCUUCCUCAAAAUUUAGUGAUUUUUUGUUUAUCUUUAUCGAGUAUUUAUUUAUAGCUUUUUUGUUCUUCCUCCUGUUGGAGCGCUUUGUGUUAUUUUUUAUAGUAGAUACGACUUUAAUUGUAGUUCGUCAUUUUGUUAGUUUUUUCCUCCUAUUCUUUGGAGUGAUUUUUGGUUUAUCUUUUUUCGGAUUUAUUUCCGCGGAUUUUUGUUAUUCAUUAAGUGCAUUAUACUCUGGC